rnacentral:rRNA from 1 species
GUGAACGCUGGCGGUAGGCCUAACACAUGCAAGUCGAACGGCAGCACAGUAAGAGCUUGCUCUUACGGGUGGCGAGUGGCGGACGGGUGAGGAAUACAUCGGAAUCUACUUUUUCGUGGGGGAUAACGUAGGGAAACUUACGCUAAUACCGCAUACGACCUACGGGUGAAAGCAGGGGAUCUUCGGACCUUGCGCGAUUGAAUGAGCCGAUGUCGGAUUAGCUAGUUGGCGGGGUAAAGGCCCACCAAGGCGACGAUCCGUAGCUGGUCUGAGAGGAUGAUCAGCCACACUGCAACUGAGACACGGUCCAGACUCCUACGGGAGGCAGCAGUGGGGAAUAUUGGACAAUGGGCGCAAGCCUGAUCCAGCCAUACCGCGUGGGUGAAGAAGGCCUUCGGGUUGUAAAGCCCUUUUGUUGGGAAAGAAAAGCAGCAGGUUAAUACCCCGCUGUUCUGACGGUACCCAAAGAAUAAGCACCGGCUAACUUCGUG